rnacentral:pre_miRNA from 1 species
UACAUACUCCCUCCGUCCUAUAUUAAGUGACUUUCUAUUACAUGUAUUUAGACGCUUUUUAGGCAUAGAUACAUUCAUAUUUGGACAAAUUUGAGUCACUUAAUAUGGGACGGAGGGAGUACUAU